AGAAGCCGUUGUAAGUCACGCUUCGAAAAGUUCCAGUUGUAAAAUUAUGUUCGGUGAAUAAGCUGAGAAUACCAUCGAAUGAAUGAAUGAAUCAGAAACGUAAAUAUAAAAAGUCAGUCUCACAUUUACUGUAAACUGAUUUUGCUUUGUAUGAUAUCGAUUGUGUGUUUUAAAAAGUAUAAUUGCAACUGUUAAAUUUUGUGUGGUAUAUAUAUUUUUAUUAAUAUGUAGAUAGCAAAUGCUGAACAUAUCGUCUAAUGUGUAACUAACAUUUAACCAAGAAAUUUAAAAGCUUCCCACCAUGUUGAAAGUUCCUUAGGGCAAAUGAAAAUUUAAACUGGCAUGUAAUGACAUGAAAUGUAUGAGGAAAGGGUAUGAAAUGAAUCAGAAAUGUAAAUAUAAAAGCAUUCAACCAAGAUAUAACUUUCCACCAAGUUUUAAGUUCCUUAGGACAAAUGAAAAAUUAAAUUGCCAUGUUAUUUUAUGAGGAAAGGAAAUAAAAUGAAUCAGAAACGUAAAUAUAAAAGGCAGAUGUCUAAAGAUGUGCCAAAAUAUCUUCAAUGGAGUAUUGCAACUCUAUAAUAACAUGCCAAAUAAGACAAUCUCUGUGAUUGAAGAUGCAGGAAAAAGAAAACCGACUGAAGAGUUUUAUGGAAUUGAUGAGUUUAAUGAAUUGUAUAACGAAAUAAUUGCUGAACAACCAUCAAAAAGAAGGAAAACAAUUGCGGAUUAAGGAGGCAUUUUUACAAAUGUAUUUCCGGGUAAAUAUAAAAUUGGAAAAAACUAAUACUAAAAACAGCAUGCGUAUCCACGGCAGUCGCGUUUCGAUUCGGAAACCAAACGUGAUGAACGAAAACGAGCACUCCAAAAACGUCUUAGACCCGAAAAACCCGGUUUGCUGAAUGGCCACACUGAUCGGAACAACCACGAGGAUAGUCUGGGAAGUUUUUUAGAUAUUUCUUCGACAUCCAUAGGGAUAUUAAUUGUCCUGGAGACGGUGACGAUGGCAAAGAUAUAUCUGUUAAACUGGAGGUUUUUAAAAAGGAAUUCUAGAAGCGAUGCCAUAAUGCUGUUUUGGUGAAUUAUUGAAGGAGAACAGGCCUAAUAAUCUGGAUGAAUUAAGAGACGGUGUAAUUAAUUUAAUGGAAAAUAUUACUCCUGACACUCUGGCAAACAUUGAAAAUUAUACGAAGUUACGGAAUUUAAAUGGAGCAUCCGAAGAACUCGAACUACAUCCCUACGCAUACGGCGCAUUGUCUCUGAGAGCAGGGAUUCUUACUACCGGGCAAAACUUUACUCUCUUUGUCGUGCAUCCAUCUCUUACAACAUCCAGACACGAAGAGCAUUUUUCGCACUGUAUAUUCAUGGACGAUGGAACAAAGGUGGUUCCCAGAAUGUUUCAGUUUCCUCAUGAUAUAUGAAUGAUCAAAGAGAACUUGAUAUGAAAGAAGUGAAACCAAAAGUUAGUAAAAUAGUUACUUUUAGUUCGUUUGGUUUAAAAUACAUUUAAGGUAUACAUAGUCUGUCUCAAAAAUUAGGACUUAGGAUGUCAGAUACGCAAAACGGGUAAACAAAUCGUAAUUUUUAUUUAGUAUUAUUCGAAAUGAACUUCUUCUUCACUGUAAUUUGAAUCUCUUCUGAUGUUAUAAAACAGAGAGGCCCUUUUUGGACAAAAACUUCAUCACAAUUCUAGACUUGUGAGCCGACGCGUUGCUAUGUAUGUACAUUUUACACUUUACACUUUACAUUUACAAUAGUUUGCAAUAGUCUCAGCCCCAGGAUGGAUCCUGGGGCUCAGUACCGCUCCACAAGCCAGUGGUAGUGGGGAGCUAACGGAUGCACUUGUAAGUUCAAUCCAUCUCCAGGAAGAUCUCGGAUCUUCCUCAGAUUGGACUUGUUCUUCCGAACCCAGUUGGCAGGGGACUGGCAUCUUUGUUAGUCCCCACGUCCACUGGUUCAGCAUACCCCGUAUAUGCAAAUAUACGUUCCUUUCCCCCCAUGUAUGAUUUGUGUAAACACUAAUGCCAUGAUCUUCGGAUCGGUGCCCGGGUAGGGUUUUUUAAACUUUCCCCUCUUUGACCCUAAAAAAAAUUGUCUCGCUAUGUAUUAUUAGACAAAUAUUUUAUGUUGUUUGUUGUUAUUCCAAUUUUAAAUAUUUCAGUUAAAGAAAGAUGACAAUUUCAUUAUGCAUGUUUUUAUUAUAUUUAUAUUUUAGGUAUUAUGACAAGCUGUGUCGAAAUAAAAGGGUUCAGUAUCGAUUUUCUACAGCCAUUGUCACAAGAUUUUGGAUGAAGUCACAUUCACAUAAGAUUGGUGUAGAGGUGGUAUAUUUGUACUGCGGUGGUAACGGUAAUGUACCAAAGGUAGUGGUAACAAAUCAUAUUGUUGAUGUUGAAUAUAAUUACUGUUUGUGUCUGCAUCCUAUUUUAAAAUAGCCACACACUGAAUAAAAACAUAAUUUUAGGUCAUAAUGUAAUAAAGUACAAUAGUGGCAUUGGACAUUGGAAGACCUUAAUAGCGUAAAAGUUAAAAGCUAGCUAGAUUCUGCACUACCAAUACCACACCGAUCUGUACGAAGUUGCUUGUGAACAUUCCAGUGAAGAAUCACGAGUCUAACUUUUUGCACUACACAUACGAAUACACUUCUGCUGCAUCAACAUAUAUUUGAAUGAGCUUUUAGUAUCUGUGUACUCGAUAUUGAAAAUUAGGCACUUCAGUUUAAAAAUUAAAAUAAUAAGUAAUCAUGUACGUUACUUAAAAUAGGAAAUAUUUUAAGCAACAAGUAUAAAUUACGA